UGAAGACUAUGAUGACAUGAUGGAUGCAUUUACAGCAGUUCCUGAUCCAUAUGAUCGUGUCUACGAGAAUAUACCUGUGAGAAGAUGGAUGAAGCCAGAGCUCGAGGGCCAACAUUGUUAGCAUAGAUGGUUUUGAGCAAACGACUAAAAGAAGAAAGGAGCUCUUUGAGGACUGUUGUGACAUAGAUCCAGCAAGCUGGUGAUGGUGGUGCAGGAAGUGUAUGGGCGUCGACAUGGCUGAAACCCCAUGGUCAUGAGACUAGCGAUGUAGUCGUCGUCGUCCUUUUUGUGCUCUCCUGUGUUGGUCUAUUUUGGGAUUCUGUGUACAAUAUCUUUUUUUUUCUGUAUGAGAGUUAACUGCAGUUUGUCAGGUUACUGGUUGACGAUGCUCUUGUUCAUGUUACCAAGGAUGAUGUGGGGAGUAGUU